rnacentral:rRNA from 1 species
AGAGUUUGAUCCUGGCUCAGGAUGAACGCUGGCGGUGUGCCUUAGACAUGCAAGUCGAACGAAGCACCUUGGACCGAUCGCUUCGGUGUGACGUCCUUGGUGACUUAGUGGCGAACGGGUGAGUAACACGUGGGUGACCUACCCCCAAGUCCGGCAUAACAGCGGGAAACCGCUGCUAAUACCGGAUGUGCUCCCGUCCCUUGGGGCGCGAGCAAAGUUCUUCGCUUGGGAAUGGGCCCGCGGCGCAUCAGCUUGUUGGUGGGGUAACGGCCUACCAAGGCGACGACGCGUAGCCGGCCUGAGAGGGUGACCGGCCACAGGGGCACUGAGACACGGGCCCCACUCCUACGGGAGGCAGC